rnacentral:rRNA from 1 species
GAUGAACGCUGGCGGCGUGCCUAAUACAUGCAAGUCGAGCGAACAGACGAGGAGCUUGCUCCUCUGACGUUAGCGGCGGACGGGUGAGUAACACGUGGAUAACCUACCUAUAAGACUGGGAUAACUUCGGGAAACCGGAGCUAAUACCGGAUAAUAUAUUGAACCGCAUGGUUCAAUAGUGAAAGACGGUUUUGCUGUCACUUAUAGAUGGAUCCGCGCCGCAUUAGCUAGUUGGUAAGGUAACGGCUUACCAAGGCAACGAUGCGUAGCCGACCUGAGAGGGCGAUCGACCACACUGGAACUGAGACACGGUCCAGACUCCUACGGGAGGCAGCAGUAGGGAAUCUUCCGCAAUGGGCGAAAGCCUGACGGAGCAACGCCGCGUGAGUGAUGAAGGUCUUCGGAUCGUAAAACUCUGUUAUUAGGGAAGAACAAAUGUGUAAGUAACUAUGCACGUCUUGACGGUACCUAAUCAGAAAGCCACGGCUAACUACGUG